AGAGUUUGAUCCUGGCUCAGGAUGAACGCUGGCGGCGUGCCUAAUACAUGCAAGUCGAGCGAACGGACGAGAAGCUUGCUUCUCUGAUGUUAGCGGCGGACGGGUGAGUAACACGUGGAUAACCUACCUAUAAGACUGGGAUAACUUCGGGAAACCGGAGCUAAUACCGGAUAAUAUUUUGAACCGCAUGGUUCAAAAGUGAAAGACGGUCUUGCUGUCACUUAUAGAUGGAUCCGCGCUGCAUUAGCUAGUUGGUAAGGUAACGGCUUACCAAGGCAACGAUGCAUAGCCGACCUGAGAGGGUGAUCGGCCACACUGGAACUGAGACACGGUCCAGACUCCUACGGGAGGCAGCAGUAGGGAAUCUUCCGCAAUGGGCGAAAGCCUGACGGAGCAACGCCGCGUGAGUGAUGAAGGUCUUCGGAUCGUAAAACUCUGUUAUUAGGGAAGAACAUAUGUGUAAGUAACUGUGCACAUCUUGACGGUACCUAAUCAGAAAGCCACGGCUAACUACGUGCCAGCAGCCGCGGUAAUACGUAGGUGGCAAGCGUUAUCCGGAAUUAUUGGGCGUAAAGCGCGCGUAGGCGGUUUUUUAAGUCUGAUGUGAAAGCCCACGGCUCAACCGUGGAGGGUCAUUGGAAACUGGAAAACUUGAGUGCAGAAGAGGAAAGUGGGAUUCCAUGUGUAGCGGUGAAAUGCGCAGAGAUAUGGAGGAACACCAGUGGCGAAGGCGACUUUCUGGUCUGUAACUGACGCUGAUGUGCGAAAGCGUGGGGAUCAAACAGGAUUAGAUACCCUGGUAGUCCACGCCGUAAACGAUGAGUGCUAAGUGUUAGGGGGUUUCCGCCCCUUAGUGCUGCAGCUAACGCAUUAAGCACUCCGCCUGGGGAGUACGACCGCAAGGUUGAAACUCAAAGGAAUUGACGGGGACCCGCACAAGCGGUGGAGCAUGUGGUUUAAUUCGAAGCAACGCGAAGAACCUUACCAAAUCUUGACAUCCUUUGACAACUCUAGAGAUAGAGCCUUCCCCUUCGGGGGACAAAGUGACAGGUGGUGCAUGGUUGUCGUCAGCUCGUGUCGUGAGAUGUUGGGUUAAGUCCCGCAACGAGCGCAACCCUUAAGCUUAGUUGCCAUCAUUAAGUUGGGCACUCUAAGUUGACUGCCGGUGACAAACCGGAGGAAGGUGGGGAUGACGUCAAAUCAUCAUGCCCCUUAUGAUUUGGGCUACACACGUGCUACAAUGGACAAUACAAAGGGCAGCGAAACCGCGAGGUCAAGCAAAUCCCAUAAAGUUGUUCUCAGUUCGGAUUGUAGUCUGCAACUCGACUACAUGAAGCUGGAAUCGCUAGUAAUCGUAGAUCAGCAUGCUACGGUGAAUACGUUCCCGGGUCUUGUACACGCCGCCCGUCACACCACGAGAGUUUGUAACACCCGAAGCCGGUGGAGUAACCUUUUAGGAGCUAGCCGUCGAAGGUGGGACAAAUGAUUGGGGUGAAGUCGUAACAAGGUAGCCGUAUCGGAAGGUGCGGCUGGAUCACCU
rnacentral:rRNA from 1 species